rnacentral:rRNA from 1 species
ACUGAACGCUGGCGGCAGGCCUAACACAUGCAAGUCGAGCGGGGUUUUCGGACCUAGCGGCGGACGGGUGAGUAAUGCGUAGGAAGCUACCCGAUAGAGGGGGAUACCAGUUGGAAACGACUGUUAAUACCGCAUAAUGUCUACGGACCAAAGUGUGGGACCUUCGGGCCACAUGCUAUCGGAUGCGCCUACGUGGGAUUAGCUAGUUGGUGGGGUAAUGGCUCACCAAGGCGACGAUCCCUAGCUGGUUUGAGAGGAUGAUCAGCCACACUGGAACUGAGACACGGUCCAGACUCCUACGGGAGGCAGCAGUGGGGAAUAUUGGACAAUGGGCGCAAGCCUGAUCCAGCCAUGCCGCGUGUGUGAAGAAGGCCUUCGGGUUGUAAAGCACUUUCAGUAGGGAGGAAGCGUUGUGUGUUAAUAGUACACAGCGUUGACGUUACCUACAGAAGAAGCACCGGCUAACUCUGUGCCAGCCGCCGCCGUAAAAC